AUUGAACGCUGGCGGCAGGCCUAACACAUGCAAGUCGAGCGAGCGGCGGGCGGGUGAGUAAUGUAGGUGGACUGCCCGCUAGAGGGGGAUAACUACUGGAAACGGUGGCUAAUACCGCAUACGGUCGGAUAACCCUUGUGGGAUUAGCUGGUAGGUAAGGUAAUGGCUUACCUAGGCGACGAUCGCUAGCUGGUCUGAGAGGAUGAUCAGCCACACGGGGACUGAGACACGGCCCAGAGGCCUACGGAGGCAGCAGUGGGGAAUAUGGCGCAAUGGGCGAAAGCCUGAUGCAGCCAUGCGGAGUGUAUGAAGAAGGCCCGAGGGUUGGAAAGUCCUUUCAGUCGGGAGGCGUUACCGGCAGAAGAAGCACCGGCUAACUCCGUGCCAGCAGCCGCGGUAAUUC
rnacentral:rRNA from 1 species